UUAAUACCGGACAUUCACUUCCUUCCGCAUGGUUGGUGGUGGAAAGUUUUUUCGGCCGGGGAGGGGCUCGCGGCCUAUCAGCUUGUUGGCGGGGUAACGGCCCACCAAGGCGACGACGGGUAGCCGGCCUGAGAGGGCGACCGGCCACACUGGGACUGAGACACGGCCCAGACUCCUACGGGAGGCAGCAGUGGGGAAUAUUGCGCAAUGGGCGGAAGCCUGACGCAGCGACGCCGCGUGGGGGAUGAAGGCCUUCGGGUUGUAAACCCCUUUCACCAGGAGCGAAUCCAGACGGUACCUGGGGAAGAAGCGCCGGCUAACUACG
rnacentral:rRNA from 1 species